rnacentral:lncRNA from 1 species
CCUGUGGUUCCAGAGUGUGUUCCAGAAUCCAGCAGCUCCAUGAAGACUCACUCUCCUGUUUCCCCUUUCCCUCUUUCCCCAACUCCCCUCUUUCCCUUGGCAGUUAUGAUGAAGGUAAACACAUGAGUAGGCACAAGCCAAACAUCAGCUCCUAUAGCAGAAGCAGGCAAGGCUUACAAAUUGACUGCUCUUAAUGCAUACAUUCUUUUCUCUGUACAGAAUUUAAAGUGUUGAUGGGAGUGGGCAUGGGAAAGUAGAAGUGAGUAGGUUUUCUUCCUUUCCUAAGAUCAGAAACUUUCAAGAGAGUUGGGGUGAGUCCUGCUCCCGGAAGACAUUGGCCUUUUUAAAGGAUGCGGUA